rnacentral:rRNA from 1 species
GAUGAACGCUAGCGACAGGCUUAACACAUGCAAGUCGAGGGGCAGCACGGGAGUAGCAAUACAACUGGUGGCGACCGGCGCACGGGUGAGUAACGCGUAUGCAACCUACCUAUCAGAGGGGAAUAACCCGGCGAAAGUCGGACUAAUACCGCAUAAAACAGGGGCACCGCAUGGUGAUAUUUGUUAAAGAAAUUCGCUGAUAGAUGGGCAUGCGAUCCAUUAGGUAGUUGGUGAGGUAACGGCUCACCAAGCCGACGAUGGAUAGGGGAACUGAGAGGUUGGACCCCCACACUGGAACUGAGACACGGACCAGACUCCUACGGGAGGCAGCAGUGAGGAAUAUUGGUCAAUGGGCGAGAGCCUGAACCAGCCAAGUCGCGUGAAGGAAGAAGGAUCUAUGGUUCGUAAACUUCUUUUGCAGGGGAAUAAAGUGCAGGACGUGUCCUGUUUUGUAUGUACCCUGAGAAUAAGGAUCGGCUAACUCCGUGCCAGCAGCCGCGGUAA